rnacentral:misc_RNA from 1 species
UCCGGUUUGUCACCGGCAGUAUCCCAUGAGUCCCCAACUGAAUGCUGGCAACUAAAGACGAGGGUUGCGCUCGUUGCGGGACUUAACCCAACAUCUCACGACACGAGCUGACGACGGCCAUGCAGCACCUGUCACCGGUCCAGCCGAACUGAAGGGAUCCAUCUCUGGAUCCCGCGACCGGGAUGUCAAACGCUGGUAAGGUUCUGCGCGUUGCUUCGAAUUAAACCACAUGCUCCACCGCUUGUGCAGGCCCCCGUCAAUUUCUUUGAGUUUUAACCUUGCGGCCGUACUCCCCAGGCGGAUGACUUAAUGCGUUAGCUGCGCCACCGGGAGGGUCGCUCCCCCCGACGCCUAGUGCCCAUCGUUUACGGCGUGGACUAC